rnacentral:rRNA from 1 species
GAAUUUGUCGGUUGGUCGGGCUUUAUUGUCCGCACUGGCCCGAUGGAAUCCUACCUUCUGAAUAACCAGCAUGCUAUUAAUUUAGUGCGUUGGGGAAGCAGAGCUAUUACCUUGAAAAAAUUAGAGUGUUUAAAGCAGGCAUUUUUGCUUGAAUACAUUAGCAUGGAAUAAUAAAAUAGGACGGCUUGGUUCUAUUUUGUUGGUUUCUAGGAUCACCGUA